rnacentral:rRNA from 1 species
CAGUCGCCGCGGGAAUACGUAGGUGGCAAGCGUUGUCCGGAAUUAUUGGGCGUAAAGGGCUCGCAGGCGGUUUCUUAAGUCUGAUGUGAAAGCCCCCGGCCCAACCGGGGAGGGUCAUUGGAAACUGGGAAACUUGAGUGCAGAAGAGGAGAGUGGAAUUCCACGUGUAGCGGUGAAAUGCGUAGAGAUGUGGAGGAACACCAGUGGCGAAGGCGACUCUCUGGUCUGUAACUGACGCUGAGGAGCGAAAGCGUGGGGAGCGAACAGGAUUAGAUACCCCUGUAGUCCCUGUCUCUUAUAC